rnacentral:lncRNA from 10 species
GAAGGCUGAAUGGGAACUCCACCUACUGCCUGUUGACCAAGCAUUAAAUAUUUUGGAGGUUCAAAAGCCUCUGAGCUUGUCAUAAUGGGCUUGCUUUCAGCACUGAGCAAAGAAUUACCCAUCUGGGAUAUCAUUCUCCUCCGGGAAAGGGUCUCCAAUCACCUCUCAUAAGGAGACAUGUCCUGCUGCCUCACUGCGGUGGCCUCAGGGGUAAGGAAUCAGAACCCACCCAGUGUGAAGAAUAAACCUGGACUCUCGGCAACACAGGAAGAAAAAGCCUACAGUACAGAUACCACGGCGACAAGGACUCAAGGCCUCCUAGCGAGAUUACAUCCUUGUCAAAGGUUGGAAAGAGGGAAAGCUCAAACCCACCUGGGAAGGACCUUACCUGGUACUCCUAACAACUGAAAUAGCACUCCGGAAAGCCGAAAAAGGGUGAACCCACCACACAAGUGAAGAAGGCCCCACCUCUGGCAAAGUCAUGGACCAUCACUCCAGGACCAACAGCCUCAAAACUAACAUUCAAACGGAUGGCCAACAGAUCGUCUUCAGCAUGCACUCCUCUGGAAUGUAUUUUAAAGCACUGGGACUCCUUCAACCCUGAGACUUUGAAAAAAAAGUGACUCAUAUUCUAUUGCACAAGAGCAUAGCCUUCUUACUAUCUUGGGGACAGAUAAACCUGGCCCGCUGCGGGGAGCCUUGAUUUUAAUAUUAUCCAACAGUUAGAUCUUUUCUCCAAACAGAAGGGCAAAUGGACUGAGAUCCCCUAUGUACAGACUUUCUUUGCCCUGUGAAACAGCCCAGACCUUUACAAGUUCUGUACAAUUGACCCAGUUCUUUUAGCGGCCACAGGGAAUCGUUCCCCAGAGCUAAAGCAGGUUCCAGAGGAGCAAUCUGAAACAGCUAUUGAAUGUCCCAAUCCUUCCAGUCCCCCUCCAAUCAUACUAUCAGCUCCUCCAGCUCCACUAUCUCCAGUAUAUCCUACUCUCCCCGCUUCAUUCUUACCUCUGCAGGAAAUGGCUGAUAGGAAUGGUGCCAUGAGGGUUCAAGUUUCCUUCUCAUUACAGGACCUUAAGCAAAUAAACAGAGACUUGGCCCAAUUUUCUGAUGACUCCGAUAAGUAUAUAGAAAUUUUCCAAAAUUUAACUCAGGUGUUUGAUCUCACAUAGAGGGAUGUUAUGUUGCUGCUAAGUCAGACCCUCACUGGGGCUGAAAAGCCAGCAGUUCCACAGGC